rnacentral:rRNA from 1 species
AGAGUUUGAUCCUGGCUCAGAUUGAACGCUGGCGGCAUGCCUAACACAUGCAAGUCGAACGGUAACGACGGGAGCUUGCUCCCGGGCGACGAGUGGCGGACGGGUGAGUAAUACUUAGGAAUCUGCCCAGUAGUGGGGGACAACUCGAGGAAACUCGAGCUAAUACCGCAUACGCCCUACGGGGGAAAGCGGAGGAUCUUUCGGGACUUCGCGCUAUUGGAUGAGCCUAAGUCGGAUUAGCUUGUUGGUGGGGUAAAGGCCUACCAAGGCAACGAUCUGUAGCUGGUCUGAGAGGACGAUCAGCCACACUGGGACUGAGACACGGCCCAGACUCCUACGGGAGGCAGCAGUGGGGAAUAUUGGACAAUGGGGGCAACCCUGAUCCAGCAAUGCCGCGUGUGUGAAGAAGGCCUGCGGGUUGUAAAGCACUUUCAGUAGAGAAGAAAUGCCCAUGGUUAAUACCCGUGGGUCUUGACGUAACCUACAGAAGAAGCACCGGCUAACUCCGUGCCAGCAGCCGCGGUAAUACGGAGGGUGCGAGCGUUAAUCGGAAUUACUGGGCGUAAAGCGCGCGUAGGCGGUUUGGUCAGUCGGAUGUGAAAGCCCUAGGCUCAACCUGGGAAUGGCAUUCGAUACUGCCUGACUAGAGUAUGGUAGAGGGAAGUGGAANNNCCGGUGUAGCGGUGAAAUGCGUAGAUAUCGGAAGGAACACCAGUGGCGAAGGCGACUUCCUGGGCCAAUACUGACGCUGAGGUGCGAAA